GGCUUUUGCAAUCACCAUAGGAAGAAGAUUCCACAGUAGCCUGUGAUUCCAGAAGAAUGAAAGACAUGUGGAGCAGCUAUGGACCAAGUUAACUAGAAGCCAACUUAGAUUAGCCAUUCUUCAGCCACAGACAUGCAGCACGUGGUUGGGUGCAGCUUGCAAUCACAAAUCAAAACGGAAGAGGAAGAGGACAACUGUAUAAAGCAGCGUGAUUUAAGUUGAUCUGUGGGACAAAGAGUUAAGCCACAAAUAUUUGGGGAGAGAGAUAUUCAAACAUCCCAACAACUUGGAGCAGCAUGGGAUUUCUAAAGAAGCUGACAAAGGAGAAAAGGCCCAAGAAAGCAACUCUGAAUCAAAAAGCCAUUAACUCUUUGAGAAUGUCUUACUGGUCUUACUCUGA